CUAACGCGUUAAGUCGACCGCCUGGGGAGUACGGCCGCAAGGUUAAAACUCAAAUGAAUUGACGGGGGCCCGCACAAGCGGUGGAGCAUGUGGUUUAAUUCGAUGCAACGCGAAGAACCUUACCUGGCCUUGACAUCCAGAGAACUUAGCAGAGAUGCUUUGGUGCCUUCGGGAACUCUGAGACAGGUGCUGCAUGGCUGUCGUCAGCUCGUGUUGUGAAAUGUUGGGUUAAGUCCCGCAACGAGCGCAACCCUUAUCCUUUGUUGCCAGCGGCUCGGCCGGGAACUCAAAGGAGACUGCCGGUGAUAAACCGGAGGAAGGUGGGGAUGACGUCAAGUCAUCAUGGCCCUUACGGCCAGGGCUACACACGUGCUACAAUGGCGCAUACAAAGAGAAGCGACCUCGCGAGAGCAAGCGGACCUCAUAAAGUGCGUCGUAGUCCGGAUUGGAGUCUGCAACUCGACUCCAUGAAGUCGGAAUCGCUAGUAAUCGUAGAUCAGAAUGCUACGGUGAAUACGUUCCCGGGCCUUGUACACACCGCCCGUCACACCAUGGGAGUGGGUUGCAAAAGAAGUAGGUAGCUUAACCUUCGGGAGGGCGCUUACCACUUUGUGAUUCAUGACUGGGGUGAAGUCGUAACAAGGUAACCG
rnacentral:rRNA from 1 species